CGUAGUGGGGACGGGUGAGUAACACGUGGGCAACCUCCCAUCAGAGGGGAUAACACUUGGCAACAGGUGCUAAACCGAUACUGAUGGAUGGAACCGCGGUGCUUUAGCUAGGUGGUGAGGUAACGGCUCACCAAGGCGACGAUGCAUAGCUGGGUGUAGGUGAUGAUCGGCCACACUGGGACUGAGACAAGGACCAGACGCCUACGGGAGUCAGCAGUAGGGAAGCUUGGGAAAUGGACGAAAGUCUGAUCUAGCAACGCCGCGUGAGUGAAGAAGGGUUUCGGAUCGUAAAACUCUGUUGUUAGAGAAGCGGUAUCGAACCAGAAAGCCACGGCUAACUACGUGCCAGCAGCCGCGGUAAUAC
rnacentral:rRNA from 1 species